GAGAUAUUAGUAAAUAUUAUACUGCCUUGUCAAGGCAGAGUUGCGGGUUAAACCCCCGCAUAUCUUA
rnacentral:tRNA from 3 species